AGCGAUUUACUUCGGUAAAGAGCGGCGGACGGGUGAGUAACGCGUGGGUAACCUACCCUGUACACACGGAUAACAUACCGAAAGGUAUGCUAAUACGGGAUAAUAUAUUUGAGAGGCAUCUCUUGAAUAUCAAAGGUGAGCCAGUACAGGAUGGACCCGCGUCUGAUUAGCUAGUUGGUAAGGUAACGGCUUACCAAGGCGACGAUCAGUAGCCGACCUGAGAGGGUGAUCGGCCACAUUGGAACUGAGACACGGUCCAAACGCCUACGGGAGGCAGCAGUGGGGAAUAUUGCACAAUGGGCGAAAGCCUGAUGCAGCAACGCCGCGUGAGUGAUGAAGGCCUUCGGGUCGUAAAACUCUGUCCUCAAGGAAGAUAAUGACGGUACUUGA
rnacentral:rRNA from 1 species